UACGUAGGGUGCAAGCGUUGUCCGGAAUUAUUGGGCGUAAAGAGCUCGUAGGCGGUUUGUCGCGUCUGCUGUGAAAACCUAAGGCUCAACCUUGGGCUUGCAGUGGGUACGGGCAGACUAGAGUGCGGUAGGGGUGACUGGAAUUCCUGGUGUAGCGGUGGAAUGCGCAGAUAUCAGGAGGAACACCGAUGGCGAAGGCAGGUCACUGGGCCGCAACUGACGCUAAGGAGCGAAAGCAUGGGGAGCGAACAGG
rnacentral:rRNA from 1 species